UACGUAGGGGGCAAGCGUUGUCCGGAUUUAUUGGGCGUAAAGAGCGUGUAGGCGGCUUGGUAGGUCCGCUGUGAAAACUUGAGGCUCAACCUCGAGAUGUCGGCGGAAACCCCCUGGCUAGAGUCCGGAAGAGGAGAGUGGAAUUCCCGGUGUAGCGGUGAAAUGCGCAGAUAUCGGGAAGAACACCCGUGGCGAAGGCGGCUCUCUGGGACGGUACUGACGCUGAGACGCGAAAGCGUGGGGAGCGAACAGG
rnacentral:rRNA from 1 species